GCCAUUAUAGUGCAGUGGUUUGAGUGCUGGACUAUAACUCUGGAGACCAGGGUUCGAGUCACUGCUCGACCA